rnacentral:tRNA from 1 species
GGUGGGUUGGCUAGUGGUUAGAGCUUAGGUCUCGUAACCGAAAAGCCGCGGGAUCGAAUCCCGCUAGAGGCUG